rnacentral:rRNA from 1 species
UACGAAGGGGGCUAGCGUUGCUCGGAAUCACUGGGCGUAAAGCGCACGUAGGCGGCUUUCUAAGUCAGGGGUGAAAUCCUGGAGCUCAACUCCAGAACUGCCUUUGAUACUGGAGAGCUAGAGUCCGGAAGAGGUGAGUGGAACUGCGAGUGUAGAGGUGAAAUUCGUAGAUAUUCGGAAGAACACCAGUGGCGAAGGCGGCUCACUGGCCCGGUACUGACGCUGAUGUGCGAAAGCGUGGGGAGCAAACAGGG